rnacentral:ncRNA from 1 species
GACAUCUGGAGAGAGGCGUUUCGCACGCACACCGAAGGGGACUUUCCUGCGGCCCACAGGCGCAGGCGAGAAAAACUCUCAGGUACAUGGACAGAUGGGGCACU